rnacentral:piRNA from 1 species
UAGUGUUCACUUUGUUAAACCCUGCAG